rnacentral:rRNA from 1 species
AAAUUGAAGAGUUUGAUCAUGGCUCAGAUUGAACGCUGGCGGCAGGCCUAACACAUGCAAGUCGAACGGUAACAGGAAGAAGCUUGCUUCUUUGCUGACGAGUGGCGGACGGGUGAGUAAUGUCUGGGAAACUGCCUGAUGGAGGGGGAUAACUACUGGAAACGGUAGCUAAUACCGCAUAACGUCGCAAGACCAAAGAGGGGGACCUUCGGGCCUCUUGCCAUCGGAUGUGCCCAGAUGGGAUUAGCUUGUUGGUGGGGUAACGGCUCACCAAGGCGACGAUCCCUAGCUGGUCUGAGAGGAUGACCAGCCACACUGGAACUGAGACACGGUCCAGACUCCUACGGGAGGCAGCAGUGGGGAAUAUUGCACAAUGGGCGCAAGCCUGAUGCAGCCAUGCCGCGUGUAUGAAGAAGGCCUUCGGGUUGUAAAGUACUUUCAGCGGGGAGGAAGGGAGUAAAGUUAAUACCUUUGCUCAUUGACGUUACCCGCAGAAGAAGCACCGGCUAACUCCGUGCCAGCAGCCGCGGUAAUACGGAGGGUGCAAGCGUUAAUCGGAAUUACUGGGCGUAAAGCGCACGCAGGCGGUUUGUUAAGUCAGAUGUGAAAUCCCCGGGCUCAACCUGGGAACUGCAUCUGAUACUGGCAAGCUUGAGUCUCGUAGAGGGGGGUAGAAUUCCAGGUGUAGCGGUGAAAUGCGUAGAGAUCUGGAGGAAUACCGGUGGCGAAGGCGGCCCCCUGGACGAAGACUGACGCUCAGGUGCGAAAGCGUGGGGAGCAAACAGGAUUAGAUACCCUGGUAGUCCACGCCGUAAACGAUGUCGACUUGGAGGUUGUGCCCUUGAGGCGUGGCUUCCGGAGCUAACGCGUUAAGUCGACCGCCUGGGGAGUACGGCCGCAAGGUUAAAACUCAAAUGAAUUGACGGGGGCCCGCACAAGCGGUGGAGCAUGUGGUUUAAUUCGAUGCAACGCGAAGAACCUUACCUGGUCUUGACAUCCACAGAACUUUCCAGAGAUGGAUUGGUGCCUUCGGGAACUGUGAGACAGGUGCUGCAUGGCUGUCGUCAGCUCGUGUUGUGAAAUGUUGGGUUAAGUCCCGCAACGAGCGCAACCCUUAUCCUUUGUUGCCAGCGGUCCGGCCGGGAACUCAAAGGAGACUGCCAGUGAUAAACUGGAGGAAGGUGGGGAUGACGUCAAGUCAUCAUGGCCCUUACGACCAGGGCUACACACGUGCUACAAUGGCGCAUACAAAGAGAAGCGACCUCGCGAGAGCAAGCGGACCUCAUAAAGUGCGUCGUAGUCCGGAUUGGAGUCUGCAACUCGACUCCAUGAAGUCGGAAUCGCUAGUAAUCGUGGAUCAGAAUGCCACGGUGAAUACGUUCCCGGGCCUUGUACACACCGCCCGUCACACCAUGGGAGUGGGUUGCAAAAGAAGUAGGUAGCUUAACCUUCGGGAGGGCGCUUACCACUUUGUGAUUCAUGACUGGGGUGAAGUCGUAACAAGGUAACCGUAGGGGAACCUGCGGUUGGAUCACCUCCUUACCUUAAAGAA